ensembl:lncRNA
ACUUUGGCCACCUCAUGCGAAGAGUUGACUCAUUGGAAAAGACUCUGAUGCUGGGAGGGAUUGGGGGCAGGAGGAAAAGGGGACGACAGAGGAUGAGAUAGCUGGAUGGCAUCACCGACUCGAUGGAUGUUGACACAGAGCCCCUGUUUGGGUUUUCUGAGACAUACAGCAAAUUCCCAUUGGCUAUCUAGUUUACAUAUGGUAAGGUAAGUUUCAUUUUACUCUCUCCAUAUAUCUCACCCUCUCCUCCCCUCUCCCCUAUGUGUGUGUAUGUUAGUUGCUUAGUUGUGUCCAACUCUCUGCAACCCCAUAGACUGUAGCCCACCAAACC